rnacentral:lncRNA from 1 species
GAGAAGAGCAGCAUAAGCAAAAGCACCAACUACUUGUAGAAAAAGCAAACUAUCAAGUGCUCCGUCUGUGCUCUGCGUUAUCUCAUUGAACUCCUCCCAACAGGUCUCUGGGGAAACUGAAAAUCAGAAGUUUCACUUGUGUCCCCAAAGACAACUGAAGACCAACAGUAAUACCUUCCAGAACACCAAAAUUUAAGGUAAAAGUAGCAAAUUAA